rnacentral:rRNA from 1 species
AUUGAACGCUGGCGGCGUGCCUAACACAUGCAAGUCGAGCGGUAACAGGUGUAGCAAUACAUGCUGACGAGCGGCGAACGGGUGAGUAAUGCUUCGGAAUCUACCCAAUGGUGGGGAAUAACCAGCCGAAAGGUUGGCUAAUACCGCAUACGUCCCACGGGAGAAAGCAGGGGAUCGCAAGACCUUGCGCCAAUGGAUGAGCCGAAGUCGGAUUAGCUAGUUGGAGGGUAACGGCCUACCAAGGCGACGAUCCGUAGCUGGUCUGAGAGGACGACCAGCCACACUGGGACUGAGACACGGCCCAGACUCCUACGGGAGGCAGCAGUGGGGAAUAUUGGACAAUGGGGGAAACCCGUGAUCCAGCGACGCCGCGUGUGUGAAGAAGGCCUGCGGGUUGUAAAGCACUUUUAGU